GCAGUCGAGCGAACAGACGAGGAGCUUGCUCCUUUGACGUUAGCGGCGGACGGGUGAGUAACACGUGGGUAACCUACCUAUAAGACUGGGAUAACUUCGGGAAACCGGAGCUAAUACCGGAUAAUAUUUCGAACCGCAUGGUUCGAUAGUGAAAGAUGGCUCUGCUAUCACUUAUAGAUGGACCUGCGCCGUAUUAGCUAGUUGGUAAGGUAACGGCUUACCAAGGCAACGAUACGUAGCCGACCUGA
rnacentral:rRNA from 1 species